rnacentral:rRNA from 1 species
AGUGGCGAACGGGUGAGUAAUACGUGAGUAACCUGCCCUUGACUCUGGGAUAAGCCCGGGAAACUGGGUCUAAUACUGGAUGCUACAUGUCACCGCAUGGUGGUGUGUGGAAAGGGUUUACUGGUCUUGGAUGGGCUCACGGCCUAUCAGCUUGUUGGUGAGGUAAUGGCUCACCAAGGCGACGACGGGUAGCCGGCCUGAGAGGGUGACCGGCCACACUGGGACUGAGACACGGCCCAGACUCCUACGGGAGGCAGCAGUGGGGAAUAUUGCACAAUGGGCGAAAGCCUGAUGCAGCGACGCCGCGUGAGGGAUGACGGCCUUCGGGUUGUAAACCUCUUUCAGCAGGGAAGAAGCCACAAGUGACGGUACCUGCAGAAGAAGCGCCGGCUAACUACGUGCCAGCAGCCGCGGUAAUACGUAGGGCGCAAGCGUUGUCCGGAAUUAUUGGGCGUAAAGAGCUCGUAGGCGGUUUGUCGCGUCUGCUGUGAAAGCCCGGGGCUUAACCCCGGGUGUGCAGUGGGUACGGGCAGACUAGAGUGCAGUAGGGGAGACUGGAAUUCCUGGUGUAGCGGUGGAAUGCGCAGAUAUCAGGAGGAACACCGAUGGCGAAGGCAGGUCUCUGGGCUGUUACUGACGCUGAGGAGCGAAAGCAUGGGGAGCGAACAGGAUUAGAUACCCUGGUAGUCCAUGCCGUAAA